CAGACAGCCACCACACAGAGGAAGAGUGUCGCCGUGACAACCCGUUCUCCUUUCCGUCCGCUCUGCAAAUCAUGUUGUCAUGUGUGGAGACAUUAGACAUCCCCUAACACCUUGUUUUAAUCCCUGGAGAGUCGCUAUGACAACCGUAUGAGACAGAGCAGAUUGAAUCCGAUAUGAGAUACGGAGUGGCAGAAACAAUGUGGAGCCUUUCUCACCUGGAAGAGUGACAGUGGCAAGCUGAGGACCUGGAGACCAGGAGGAUGGUUGCUCAUCGAUGACCAUAAUGGUUUAGAAUCUCCA